UUUAAUGGGGUCCAAAAAAGACAAAGAUCGUUCCACCUGCAGGCUAAGUCAUGUCGUCAGUUUUUGGGAUGCCCAUGGAAUAAUUUCCAUUAAUUAUCUUGAAAAAGGAAAAACUAUCAACGUUUGAGUGAAGAAAUCAAGCAAAAUCGGUGGCAUUUGGUUAUGAAGAAAACGUUGUUUCAUCAAGACAAUGCACCAGCUAACAAAUCCGUUAUUUUUGAGGAGCUUGACGAUUUUUAUUAUGAAAAGGGCUGGGAAAAGUUUUUGAGUUUUCUUUGUUGGGCCAGGUACUUCUCGGACCAUUUUCGUAAUGAAAUUUACGAGGAUAUUUAAAAUAUGAUGAUUUAUCUAUACUUAUUGAGGUCUAAAAGUUUUGUGAUUGUUUUUUGGCUACGUCUCUACUUUAAAGUUCUAAUUUUCGUAUAGCUAGUACACCCCUGUAUAAUUCUAGACAAUUUUGUUUAUAAUUUAUGAAACGUGUAAGUUGAUAUCAUGUGUUAAACAUGGAAAUUAACCAGAUUAAAGUGUAAUAACUGAGAUAUUAUGAGCGAAAUCAGUAUGAAAGUGUUUUCAACGUUUUUUGUUUUCGUUUUACUGUUUAUGACAGUUUUCGGAGUCCCAACCGAUCUGCCACCUACAACAACUGUAGCUUUUCAAAAUCAAACAACAAAUAAACCUUCCAAAUUUCGUUAUUUCGCCGGAAAAGUGAAAUGUAAUGUAGGUUAUGUUUUAUUUCAUAGAAGAUGUGUGGAAACUUUUUAGACGAUGUAAUGAAAAGCCAUUUAAAUGGUUUGGCCUUGAUUCAAUACAUAUAUGAAUAAAGAAACUUUGCCCAAGAAAAAAAUGUAAAUAAAUAUUUUGUUUGUUUUAAA